CCCCGUGCCCUCUCGUCCCCAUCAAAGGUUGCAGGGUCUGCUGCUUUUAAGGGAAGAUUGCUGAUGUUUUCAAAGCUGACACAAUUCACUGAAAUCCAGCACACUCGUUCUAACGGCGCUCUGAUCACAGAACAUCAGUAAAUCCAUUUUAACACAACAUAUUUUAAAUUUGUGUUGCGUCCACCAUUUUUUAUUGCUUUUCUCUCACUCACCCUCACAUAAAUCACACCCAAACACUCCCAUUCAAACAGUGAAAAACAUCUUUCAAAGCUUUGAAGCCCCGUUUCCCUCGCAGCAGUUGUGGCUUAAUGUAGGUUGCUUGCAAACAACCCAGAAUUUGGCACCUAAUUGGAGCGUGCGUGUGCUCCAUUCAGCGGGCAGGCGGCUGGCGACUCUGUUGUGCAAACUCAGGAUAAUUAGACAAAGUGAAUUCUAGAUCACAUCUGGCACAGUGGAGGGAGAAUAAGCAGCGGAGGGCCUAUUGGAUCAUGUGGAUUGUUGACCGCUGAAGGCCUCAGAGAUUUAACGGCUCUGUUUUUUUGUCUAUGCUUGCGUGCACUUGCAAGAGUACUUGCAAUUUUAUUUGCCUGUGUCCUUAUUUGUGUACUAGAGAUAGCACAUGUGUGUAAAUUAGUGUUCUGUGGAACUACUGAAUGAAAAAACUGCUCGACAGGCCUUUUGAACACGCAAGGGAGCAAGAGUUUGUGCUUUUUUUUUUUUUUUUUUUGAAGUACUGAGUGCUGAAUACAAAGAGGGUGAUGUGUUUAAUCAUGUCGGUCGAUGUCUGAAGUGCUGGAGGCGCUAUAUCUCCCUGUGGUUUUCUUUGUCUUUGUGCUUAACCUACACAAUCUGUUUUUACGAGUGUGUGUCUGUGUGUGUGUGUGCGUGUGUGAGACAAAUGCGAAUGAUACGUUUCAUCAUGUGUUUCCCGGUGUUUGAUGUGGCGUAGGAGCUCCUUAGUCUUUCACUCAUCAUUCUACUCCCUCUCUUCCUUUCUCACUCCGCCACAGCUCAUCUCUCCACCGCUCUGUCUCCCACCUGCUUUCUUUCUGCCUUCACCUCUUCUCUCUCUUCCACCCACUCCUCACUCUUCCUCCCCCACCACCUCACUUUCUUUCCUCCCCCCCUCUCUGUAAGCUCAGAGGCCCGGAGUCUUUGAAAGCUUUGACUCCUGUGGCUCUGGCUGCUGCUGCUGCUGCUACACUCCCAGUAUGGAUGGGCAUGAAUAUUUCAUCUCUGGAGUAAAAGAAGGGAGUGAGAGGUGGUUGGGGGGCAGGGUUGGUCGGAGGCGAGGAGUGAAUAAUGUGUAAGAUGGAGGAGAAAGGACAGGGGGGAGGGGGGAGACGUCAUAGAGAAAGACAGGUGAGUGCAGCAGGUACAAAUUAUUGCAAAGAUGAAGAAAUGCAAAUGUAGACGAGAUGAAAAGCUGAAAACAGGAAGAGAUGGGAGUAAACACAUGUGGAAUACCAACUUGUGUUAGAGCAGAGUCCCUCGGCUAUCCAGCCGUUUUUGUAUUUGUCUCGAGUAACUCUCAUCAUUGUCCUCGUCUA
ensembl:lncRNA